GACGAACCGUGCAAACGUUAUUCGGAAUCACUGGGCUUAAAGCGCGUGUAGGCGGGCCGGCACGUCGGUCGUUGAAAUCCCCCGGCUCAACCGGGGAAGCGGCGCCGAUACGGCCGGCCUCGAGGGACGUAGGGGGGGCUGGAACUUCCGGUGGAGCGGUGAAAUGCGUUGAGAUCGGAAGGAACGCCCGUGGCGAAGGCGGUUCUCUGGGACGGUACUGACGCUGAGACGCGAAAGCGUGGGGAGCGAACAGG
rnacentral:rRNA from 1 species